CUGUUAAAUCUGAAGAUCUAAAUUCUAAAAUCGUGGCAUUUGAAGAGUGUAAGGCACUUUGCAAAUAUUGAUAGCAGUAAGAAAGGAGGGAUGGACAAAAGAAGCUUGCCUUGCUUGGAGAUACUGUCAGAAACCAACCUUCGAUGCACUUUCAGAUAGGGUGUGGGUUUGGAAUCUCACUCUAAGGAACAGAAAGGACACACAUCAAGAAUUGUUUUUGUCUAAUGUGGUUUAUGAAUGUCAGAAGCAAUAUGUUGC
rnacentral:lncRNA from 1 species